GACAACAUUCUACAUAAUGUAACAAAGAAGUCUGAAAAUGUGAAUCAUCUGCAAACUAUGCAUUCAUCUUGCAGACCUUCACUCUGAGAGAUAUUUUUCCCUAAAUCGAUUUGAUGUUCUCUAUCACCAAGGAGGGAGUCUUUAGAUAUGUGUAUCUUCAUCAUUUUCAUUCUGCCAAGAUUUUGUUUUGAGUAACCUGCUUGCAUUUAUUUUACUCCUUGUUGUUACAAGGCUUUGGCUAACAAUGAAGUGAUCCAGAUGGACUCCCUGGGAUGAAUCUUUC
rnacentral:lncRNA from 1 species